rnacentral:tRNA from 1 species
GGAGGGGUCGCAUAGAGGCCUAGUGCGGCGGUUUGCUAAAUCGCUAUACGAGUAAAAUCGUAUCGAGGGUUCGAAUCCCUCCCCCUCCGCCA